rnacentral:rRNA from 1 species
UCGAUGAAGAACGCAGCGAAAUGCGAUAAGUAAUGUGAAUUGCAGAAUUCAGUGAAUCAUCGAAUCUUUGAACGCACAUUGCGCCCUGUGGUAUUCCGCAGGGCAUGCCUGUUCGAGCGUCAGUACAACACUCAAGCCUAGCUUGGUCUUGGGCCUCGCCGGAGACGGCGGGCCUUAAAAUCAGUGGCGGCUCCUGUUAGGCCCUAAGCGUAGUAAUACUCCUCGCUACAGGGACCCGGCAGACGCUGGCCAGCAACCCCAACUUUCUAAGUUUGACCUCGGAUCAGGUAGGGAUACCCGCUGAACUUAA